rnacentral:lncRNA from 1 species
UUGUAACCCUGUAAUCUCCCAAGCAUGGAGGCGUACAUAGAAGGGUGCAAGCUCUGCAUGGAGUUUUCUAGAGGAAUGCUUCCUUGUGAGACAGGUGGACGUUAAGGGGGUUAGCAGAGCAGGUACCAUGGGAGUGGCAGAAACUCAACUAUGAUAUCUAUAGCCUGCGGCAGAUUCGAAGGGAAGUGAGAAACAGAUGGAAACGCAUUUUAGAAGAUUUGGGUAAGUCUGAAAGAGUUUGUAAAGUGGUAAAAAUAACUAGUUGUGGUCAUUACUCCACUUUCUCCACAAUGUUUUUUCAUAGAAAGGAAUGCCAGUAAUUGAUUAAGGUCACUAUGUACUUAUUUUCUCAAUCUUGCUUUUA